rnacentral:tRNA from 1 species
GCGGGUGUAGUUCAGCAGCUAGAACGUCUCCUUGCCAAGGAGAAGGUCGUGGGUGCGAAUCCCAUCACCCGCU